AAAAAGAGUGGCUCAAAAAGGCUUAGGGAUCAUCAAGUUAUGAGCCUUUGAAGCUAUGAAAAACAACAAAAAUAAAUAGGCAAAAAAAAAACAAUGAAAUAAAAUGGGUCUCGGACGAGGGGUGUUUGAACCCCAAACCUUGCACACACACAAAUCCUUAACAUGCACACUUCAACCCCUGGGGUGGUGAUACACUCGGUAAUUUAUUUACAUUCAUUAAUACAUAUUUUAAAACAAGACCUAAGAUGACAAGGUCAACACCACGUCAUCAUCACUAACCUCACGCUCUUG
rnacentral:lncRNA from 1 species